ACAACGAUUACUUCGGUCAUACCAUGCAGUCGAGCGGUAGCACAGAGAGCUUGCUCUCGGGUGACGAGCGGCGGACGGGUGAGUAAUGUCUGGGAAACUGCCUGAUGGAGGGGGAUAACUACUGGAAACGGUAGCUAAUACCGCAUAACGUCGCAAGACCAAAGUGGGGGACCUUCGGGCCUCAUGCCAUCAGAUGUGCCCAGAUGGGAUUAGCUAGUAGGUGGGGUAAUGGCUCACCUAGGCGACGAUCCCUAGCUGGUCUGAGAGGAUGACCAGCCACACUGGAACUGAGACACGGUCCAGACUCCUACGGGAGGCAGCAGUGGGGAAUAUUGCACAAUGGGCGCAAGCCUGAUGCAGCCAUGCCGCGUGUAUGAAGAAGGCCUUCGGGUUGUAAAGUACUUUCAGCGAGGAGGAAGGCGUUAAGGUUAAUAACCUUGGCGAUUGACGUUACUCGCAGAAGAAGCACCGGCUAACUCCGUGCCAGCAGCCGCGGUAAUACGGAGGGUGCAAGCGUUAAUCGGAAUUACUGGGCGUAAAGCGCACGCAGGCGGUCUGUCAAGUCGGAUGUGAAAUCCCCGGGCUCAACCUGGGAACUGCAUUCGAAACUGGCAGGCUAGAGUCUUGUAGAGGGGGGUAGAAUUCCAGGUGUAGCGGUGAAAUGCGUAGAGAUCUGGAGGAAUACCGGUGGCGAAGGCGGCCCCCUGGACAAAGACUGACGCUCAGGUGCGAAAGCGUGGGGAGCAAACAGGAUUAGAUACCCUGGUAGUCCACGCCGUAAACGAUGUCGACUUGGAGGUUGUGCCCUUGAGGCGUGGCUUCCGGAGCUAACGCGUUAAGUCGACCGCCUGGGGAGUACGGCCGCAAGGUUAAAACUCAAAUGAAUUGACGGGGGCCCGCACAAGCGGUGGAGCAUGUGGUUUAAUUCGAUGCAACGCGAAGAACCUUACCUACUCUUGACAUCCAGAGAACUUAGCAGAGAUGCUUUGGUGCCUUCGGGAACUCUGAGACAGGUGCUGCAUGGCUGUCGUCAGCUCGUGUUGUGAAAUGUUGGGUUAAGUCCCGCAACGAGCGCAACCCUUAUCCUUUGUUGCCAGCGGUUAGGCCGGGAACUCAAAGGAGACUGCCAGUGAUAAACUGGAGGAAGGUGGGGAUGACGUCAAGUCAUCAUGGCCCUUACGAGUAGGGCUACACACGUGCUACAAUGGCAUAUACAAAGAGAAGCGACCUCGCGAGAGCAAGCGGACCUCAUAAAGUAUGUCGUAGUCCGGAUUGGAGUCUGCAACUCGACUCCAUGAAGUCGGAAUCGCUAGUAAUCGUAGAUCAGAAUGCUACGGUGAAUACGUUCCCGGGCCUUGUACACACCGCCCGUCACACCAUGGGAGUGGGUUGCAAAAGAAGUAGGUAGCUUAACCUUCGGGAGGGCGCUUACCACUUUGUGAUUCAUGACUGGGGUGAAGUCGAGCAAGACUGCUC
rnacentral:rRNA from 1 species